GGUAGGGUGGCUGAAUUAGGUGAUAAAUUGUAAAUUUAUUUAUGAGAGGUUUCUCCCCUAUCA
rnacentral:tRNA from 1 species